ACCUGGGAUAGCUCAGUUGGUAGAGCAUGAGACUCUUAAUCUCAAGGUUAUGGGUUCAAGUCCCACGCUGGGCA
rnacentral:tRNA from 1 species